GACGAACGCUGGCGGCACGCUUAACACAUGCAAGUCGAACGAGAGAAGAGAAGCUUGCUUUUCUGAUCUAGUGGCGGACGGGUGAGUAACACGUGAGCAAUCUGCCUUUCAGAGGGGGAUACCGAUUGGAAACGAUCGUUAAUACCGCAUAAUAUAAUUGAACCGCAUGAUUUGAUUAUCAAAGAUUUAUCGCUGAAAGAUGAGCUCGCGUCUGAUUAGCUAGUUGGUAAGGUAACGGCUUACCAAGGCGACGAUCAGUAGCCGGACUGAGAGGUUGAUCGGCCACAUUGGGACUGAGACACGGCCCAGACUCCUACGGGAGGCGGCAGUGGGGAAUAUUGCACAAUGGAGGAAACUCUGAUGCAGCGAUGCCGCGUGAGGGAAGAAGGUUUUAGGAUUGUAAACCUCUGUCUUCAGGGACGAAAAAAGACGGUACCUGAGGAGGAAGCUCCGGCUAACUACGUGCCAGCAGCCGCGGUAAUACGUAGGGAGCGAGCGUUGUCCGGAAUUACUGGGUGUAAAGGGAGCGUAGGCGGGAUCGCAAGUCAGAUGUGAAAACUAUGGGCUUAACCCAUAAACUGCAUUUGAAACUGUGGUUCUUGAGUGAAGUAGAGGUAAGCGGAAUUCCUAGUGUAGCGGUGAAAUGCGUAGAUAUUAGGAGGAACAUCAGUGGCGAAGGCGGCUUACUGGGCUUUAACUGACGCUGAGGCUCGAAAGCGUGGGGAGCAAACAGGAUUAGAUACCCUGGUAGUCCACGCCGUAAACGAUGAUUAUAGGGUGGGGGGGGGGGGACCCCUUCCGUCCCGCAGCAAACGCAAUAAGUAAUCCACUGGGGGGGUACGACGGCAAGGUGGAAACUCAAAGGAAUAGACGGGGGCCCGCCCAAGCAGUGGAGUAUGUGGAUUAAUUUGAAGCAACGCGAAGAACCUUACCAGGUCUUGACAUCGUAUGCAUAGCUCAGAGAUGAGUGAAAUCUCUUCGGAGACAUAUAGACAGGUGGUGCAUGGUUGUCGUCAGCUCGUGUCGUGAGAUGUUGGGUUAAGUCCCGCAACGAGCGCAACCCUUACUGUUAGUUGCUACGCAAGAGCACUCUAGCAGGACUGCCGUUGACAAAACGGAGGAAGGUGGGGAUGACGUCAAAUCAUCAUGCCCCUUAUGACCUGGGCCUCACACGUACUACAAUGGCUGUCAACAGAGGGAAGCAAAGCCGCGAGGUGGAGCGAACCCCUAAAAGCAGUCUUAGUUCGGAUUGUAGGCUGCAACCCGCCUACAUGAAGUCGGAAUUGCUAGUAAUCGCAGAUCAGCAUGCUGCGGUGAAUAAGUUCCCGGGCCUUGUACA
rnacentral:rRNA from 1 species